UACGUAGGGCGCAAGCGUUAUCCGGAAUUAUUGGGCGUAAAGAGCUCGUAGGCGGUUUGUCGCGUCUGCCGUGAAAGUCCGGGGCUCAACUCCGGAUCUGCGGUGGGUACGGGCAGACUAGAGUGCAGUAGGGGAGACUGGAAUUCCUGGUGUAGCGGUGAAAUGCGCAGAUAUCAGGAGGAACACCGAUGGCGAAGGCAGGUCUCUGGGCCGAUAUUGACGCUGAGGAGCGAAAGCGUGGGGAGCAAACAGG
rnacentral:rRNA from 1 species